GACGAACGCUGGCGGCGUGCCUAAUACAUGCAAGUCGAGCGGAACUGGGGGAGCUUGCUCCUUCCAGUUUGGCGGCGGACGGGUGAGUAACACGUGGGCAACCUGCCCUGCAGAUCGGGAUAACUCCGGGAAACCGGUGCUAAUACCGAAUAGUUUGGCGCCUCUCCUGAGGCGCUACGGAAAGACGUUUUCGGUCGUCACUGCAGGAUGGGCACGCGGCGGAUUAGCUAGUUGGUGGGGUAACGGCCCGCCAAGGCGACGAUGCGUAGCCGGCCUGGGAGGGUGACCGGCCACACUGGGACUGAGACACGGCCCAGACUCCUACGGGAGGCAGCAGUAGGGAAUCUUCCUCAAUGGACGCAAGUCUGACGGGGCAACGCCGCGUGAGUGACGAAGGUUUUCGGAUCGUAAAACUCUGUUGUGAGGGAAGAACACGUACCAACUAACUAUUGGUACCUUGACGGUACCUCACCAGAAAGCCACGGCUAACUACGUGCCAGCCGCCGCCGUAA
rnacentral:rRNA from 1 species